CUGCAACUGAAGGGGUAGACAAGUGACAAUUGUGAACAUAACAAUCAGGUCUGCAGCAGAAAAAUAUCGAGGUUCUUCCUUUAUCUAUACCAAAGAAGCAUUGUGAGUGGUGGGACAAGUAAAUGCUCUUCCACUUGGUAUAAGGGCCAAGUCUCCACACCCGGGAGGCUGCGAACGUGGCCACCUCUCCCGCCAGGCACCAUGCGAACCGCAACCACCAUGUGAGGUCUCCAAGACCCUGCACGCCCAGUUUUCAUCACUGAACUCCAUCACACCUACAAACAAGCAACGAGCUCAGGGAUGCGGUCCAGAAGAUUUUGUGUUCAAAUGAAGGCCUGACUCGGUCUGGUAUGCACAUGUUUUCUUUAUUUAUUUUUUUUAUUGAAAUGCUCUGCCUUUAUUAAUCGUCUUGAAUGCUUCACCAUGACAUCGUUUGUAAGCCGGCUUCAAACAACGGGGUCAUUUCUUGCUUCUCAGUGUGCUGUACAGUGAACCCAAUGUAUCUAUUUAUGUUUAUAUUUCACAGUAUUUGUGUAUUAAU